AAAGCACAUUAAAGUGCUCUGUAGAUUGCAUUUCACUGCUCUUCAACGUUUUUUAUUUUAUUUUUUGAGAGACAGAGAGAGACAGAGCACAAGCAGGGGAGGGGCAAGAGAGAGACACGCACACACAGAAUCAGAAGCAGUCUCCAGGCUCUGAGCGGUCAGCACAGAGCCCGACGCCCGUGACUGUGAGAUCAUGACCUGAGCCGAAGUCAGAUGCUCAAUCGACUGAGACACCCAGGGGCCCCAUCAUUGCUUUUCAGAUACAAGGACUUAUUGUUAUCACUAUGUGCUGCUCUGAUUGCCAUCCUAGGAUCCUUGUUUUUGCUUUCCUCCCCCACUGGCCAUGCCAGAGAUGCUCUUACUGAAGUACUGUGGAUCGCCCACCUGACCAUUUCUAACUCCUCCGUCACUGCAGAAAGGUCUCUGGUGCCUCUCCCCAAACCAUCUUCAUAGCAUACCACAGUGUGCAGGAAACCACUGAUUCGGUGAGCAAACCCGCUGCUGGAGACACAGAGAGCUGCAGCAUCACCCAACUGUCUGGGGUCAGCAAGCAACCCCUCGAGAGCCAUCACCAGCAGCAGCCAGGCUUCCACAGUAAGUGUAGACAGCCCAGAGCUGUUAGGGGGCACCUCGGGCUCAUGGAGGAAGAACGCAGAUGGGACCAGAGCCAGCGACACUCGGUGAGCCCCAGCACCGCUGUCAUGGUGAGGCGACGCUGAGAGUAGACCCAGCGGGUGGUCUCUUGAGUCUGUUUUACACGGGGUGUAGAGCAUGUCACAGAGUCCUGGGGGACAUGCUACAUCUCAGGUGCCACCAACGCUUUCCUGAGUUCUCCAGGUCACGCUUUACUGCUAUCACCUUUCAACUCUCAUGACGUGCUGUUUUUUACACCAGUUACCCAGUUGCAACCGCGACAGUUGGGAUGUUCUGCCUUGGAGUCCUGCUUAUUUGUGUACUUUGUCUUAUCCCCCCUGCUAGACUCGUAAGCUCCCUAGGAUGGGGACCAUGAGCCCCGUGGCAUGAGAGACGGGGAUUCGCAAAGUAUUUGCGGAUUUCAAUACAGAGAAACUUCUUCCACUGCAGUAUAAAGCAGGAGCUAUAUUCUAUUCUUGGUGCUUCCAGGGUGACUCACACACAUGUGUUCUCAAGAAAUACUGCUUGAUUGAUGGAUCCAGCCCUUGAAGGGUCCCUUCCAUAGUAUUUCAGUUGAAACAUUAUGAUGAAAUCCCAAACCAAACGGAAAUGCGAACCACAAAAAUCAAAUCUAAAUGUUU